rnacentral:rRNA from 1 species
CCGAGAAUAUUCGACAAUGGGCGAAAGCCUGAUCGAGCGAUACCGCGUGGUGGAUGAAGCGCUUCGGCGCGUAAACACCUUUUAUGAGGGAAGAAGUCAUUGACGGUACCUCAUGAAUAAGGGGCUCCUAACUCUGUGCCAGCAGGAGCGGUAAUACAGAGGCCCCAAGCGUUACCCGGAAUUACUGGGCGUAAAGGGUGCGUAGGUGGUCAUGUUAGUCGUCUGUCAAAUACCAGGGCUCAACUCUGGAACCGCAGGCGAAACGGCAUGACUCGAGGGAGUGAGAGGUGAAUGGAACUCAUGGUGUAGGGGUGAAAUCCGUUGAUAUCAUGGGGAACACCGAAAGCGAAGGCAAUUCACUGGCACUUUCCUGACACUCAAGCACGAAAGCGUGGGUAGCGAACGGGAUUAGAUACCCCUGUAGUCC